UACGAAGGGGGCUAGCGUUGUUCGGAAUUACUGGGCGUAAUGCGCGCGUAGGCGGUUUUGCAAGCCAGAGGUGAAAUGCCUGAGCUCAACUCAGGAAUGGCCUUUGGGACUGCGAGGCUUUGAGGACUGGAGAGGUGAGUGGAAUUCCCAGUGUAGAGGUGAAAUUCGUAGAUAUUGGGAAGAACACCGGUGGCGAAGGCGGCUCACUGGCCAGUUUCUGACGCUGUAGCGCGAAAGCGUGGGGAUCAAACAGG
rnacentral:rRNA from 1 species